rnacentral:rRNA from 1 species
UACGUAGGUCCCGAGCGUUGUCCGGAUUUAUUGGGCGUAAAGCGAGCGCAGGUGGUUUAUUAAGUCUGGUGUAAAAGGCAGUGGCUCAACCAUUGUAUGCAUUGGAAACUGGUAGACUUGAGUGCAGGAGAGGAGAGUGGAAUUCCAUGUGUAGCGGUGAAAUGCGUAGAUAUAUGGAGGAACACCAGUGGCGAAAGCGGCUCUCUGGCCUGUAACUGACACUGAGGCUCGAAAGCGUGGGGAGCAAGCAGG